UACGUAGGGUGCGAGCGUUGUCCGGAAUUAUUGGGCGUAAAGAGCUCGUAGGCGGCUUGUCGCGUCGGAUGUGAAAGCCCGGGGCUUAACUCCGGGUCUGCAUUCGAUACGGGCAGGCUGGAGUUCGGUAGGGGAGAUCGGAAUUCCUGGUGUAGCGGUGAAAUGCGCAGAUAUCAGGAGGAACACCGGUGGCGAAGGCGGAUCUCUGGGCCGAUACUGACGCUGAGGAGCGAAAGCGUGGGGAGCGAACAGG
rnacentral:rRNA from 1 species